rnacentral:rRNA from 1 species
AGUUUACUAGAGCUCUUUUAGUGGCGGACGGGUUAGUAACACGUGAGUAACUUGCCUCAAAGUGGGGGAUAGUCCUGGGAAACUGGGUUUAAUACCGCAUAUGACCUACGGGUUAAAGCUAGCCAUUUAUUUGGCUGGUGCUUUGAGAUAGGCUCGCGUCCUAUCAGCUAGUUGGUGAGGUAAAAGCUCACCAAGGCGACGACGGGUAGUUGGUCUGAGAGGACGAUCAGCAACACUGGAACUGAGACACGGUCCAGACACCUACGGGUGGCAGCAGUCGAGAAUCAUUCACAAUGGGGGCAACCCUGAUGGUGCAACGCCGCGUGGAGGAUGAAGGACCUAGGUUCGUAAACUCCUGUCAUAGCAGAGUAAGGUAUAAUCGUUAAUAGCUUUUAUAUCUGAUAGUAUGCUAAGAGGAAGGGACGGCUAACUUCGUGCCAGCAGCCGCGGUAAUACGAAGGUCCCGAGCGUUAUUCGGAAUAACUGGGCGUAAAGGGAGCGUAGGCGGCUUGGUAAGUCAGAUGUGAAAGCCCGGGGCUCAACCCCGGAACUGCAUUCGAUACUGCCAGGCUAGAGUAAUG